UACGAAGGGGGCUAGCGUUGCUCGGAAUUACUGGGCGUAAAGGGCGCGUAGGCGGACAUUUAAGUCAGAGGUGAAAGCCCAGGGCUCAACCUUGGAACUGCCUUUGAUACUGGAUGUCUUGAGUUCGGGAGAGGUGAGUGGAAUGCCGAGUGUAGAGGUGAAAUUCGUAGAUAUUCGGCGGAACACCAGUGGCGAAGGCGACUCACUGGCCCGAUACUGACGCUGAGGCGCGAAAGCGUGGGGAGCAAACAGG
rnacentral:rRNA from 2 species